rfam:Macrostomum lignano unitig_44336, whole genome shotgun sequence.
GCCCCAGUGGCGCAAUGGAUAGCGCGUCGGACUUCUAAUCCGGAGGUUGAGGGUUCGAGUCCCUCCUGGGGUA